UACGUAGGGAGCAAGCGUUGUCCGGAAUCACUGGGCGUAAAGAGCACGUAGGCGGCUAUUUAAGUCAGAUGUGAAAACCAAGGGCUCAACCCGUGGAUUGCAUUUGAAACUGGAUGGCUUGAGGACAGGAGAGGUAAGUGGAAUUCCUAGUGUAGCGGUGAAAUGCGUAGAUAUUAGGAGGAACACCAGUGGCGAAGGCGACUUACUGGCCUGUAACUGACGCUGAGGUGCGAAAGCGUGGGGAGCGAACGGG
rnacentral:rRNA from 1 species